rnacentral:rRNA from 1 species
CCCCAGAUGGAUCAUUACCAAUAUGAGGGCGGGCUGGAACCUCUCGGGGUUACAGCCUUGCUGAAUUAUUCACCCUUGUCUUUUGCGUACUUCUUGUUUCCUUGGUGGGUUCGCCCACCACUAGGACAAACAUAAACCUUUUGUAAUUGCAAUCAGCGUCAGUAACAAAUUAAUAAUUACAACUUUCAACAACGGAUCUCUUGGUUCUGGCAUCGAUGAAGAACGCAGCGAAAUGCGAUAAGUAGUGUGAAUUGCAGAAUUCAGUGAAUCAUCGAAUCUUUGAACGCACAUUGCGCCCUUUGGUAUUCCAAAGGGCAUGCCUGUUCGAGCGUCAUUUGUACCCUCAAGCUUUGCUUGGUGUUGGGCGUCUUGUCUCUAGCUUUGCUGGAGACUCGCCUUAAAGUAAUUGGCAGCCGGCCUACUGGUUUCGGAGCGCAGCACAAGUCGCACUCUCUAUCAGCAAAGGUCUAGCAUCCAUUAAGCCUUUUUUUCAACUUUUGACCUCGGAUCAGGUAGGGAUACCCGCUGAACUUAAGCAUAUAAUUAAGCGGAGGGAAA